rnacentral:lncRNA from 1 species
AACAUAUGCUUCUUUGUUUAGCAAUUAUAUUGUUGUUUAAAUUAAAUGCUCAUUUAAAUUUUUGUUGUUGUAAAUUUUAUUUCUUUUCGUUUUUGUGCAGACACCUCCAUUAUCACGAUCAGCAUAGCCAUCUUUACAUGCUCCCCAACAAGCUCCGUUUAUCAUGCUUUCAUCACUACGACAGUAUUUACGCUGAAAGAGUGUAAUCUUUAUACCAGGUCCACCCGUGGGUUCGCAAAGGCAGCAUCCAACAGCGUGAUAUCCGGCUUUC